UGAGGUAGAGGCGCAAUGCUUAUUAGUAAUUUCAGUGAAGCCGGAAGCUAUUGAUCUGUUAUGAAAGGAAUCAUUGCCGAAGCAUUAAAUUCCAAACUUAAUGCUGGGUCUGCAUUAAACAAAUGCAGGACUGUCAAUAUAGGUGACUAUAUUGUUGAGCUA
rnacentral:ncRNA from 1 species